UACGUAGGGGGCAAGCGUUGUCCGGAAUCAUUGGGCGUAAAGCGCGUGUAGGCGGUUCGGUAAGUCUGCUGUGAAAGUCCAGGGCUCAACCCUGGGAUGCCGGUGGAUACUGUCGGACUAGAGUACGGAAGAGGCGAGUGGAAUUCCUGGUGUAGCGGUGGAAUGCGCGGAUAUCAGGAGGAACACCGAUGGCGAAGGCAGGUCUCUGGGCCGAUACUGACGCUGAGGAGCGAAAGCGUGGGGAGCGAACAGG
rnacentral:rRNA from 1 species